UCCGAAUUAGUAAAAUUUAUUAUGUUGCUUUGAUAUGGCAGAGUUCCUUUUUAAGGAUUCGGUA
rnacentral:tRNA from 1 species